GGUCAACGCAAGGAGGCAGACAUGGGACGUGUUUAUUCUCUCAAUGUCCUGGUAGUCGGUGCAGCGUUUGUAUUCGUGGCGUCAAUGCUCUUCAUCUAGGCGCCACAGGUUCUCCCCGCUACCAACCACUCUCGCAUCCGUGAACGCUUGAUACAUCCAGCACUUUUCUGAAAACGCAUGCUCCUUGGAGCAUGCGUUUU
rnacentral:sRNA from 1 species